rnacentral:rRNA from 1 species
GAUGAACGCUGGCGGCGUGCCUAAUACAUGCAGGUCGAGCGAACGGACGAGAAGCUUGCUUCUCUGAUGUUAGCGGCGGACGGGUGAGUAACACGUGGAUAACCUACCUAUAAGACUGGGAUAGCUUCGGGAAACCGGAGCUAAUACCGGAUGAUAUUUUGAACCGCAUGGUUCAAAAGUGAAAGACGGUCUUGCUGUCACUUAUAGAUGGAUCCGCGCUGCAUUAGCUAGUUGGUAAGGUAACGGCUUACCAAGGCAACGAUGCAUAGCCGACCUGAGAGGGUGAUCGGCCACACUGGAACUGAGACACGGUCCAGACUCCUACGGGAGGCAGCAGUAGGGAAUCUUCCGCAAUGGGCGAAAGCCUGACGGAGCAACGCCGCGUGAGUGAUGAAGGUCUUCGGAUCGUAAAACUCUGUUAUUAGGGAAGAACAUAUGUGUAAGUAACUGUGCACAUCUUGACGGUACCUAAUCAGAAAGCCACGGCUAACUUCGUG